AGCUGACCAAUACUAAUUGCUCGUGAGGCUUGACUAUACAACACCCAAACAGUUG
rnacentral:rRNA from 1 species